CCCGGCGCGCGGGCGAGGCCGCAGCAGGUGAGCGGCGCCCGCUGCCGCGGCUGAUUGGCCACUCCCUGGCGCAAAGGGACUCAGCUCCUGCAGUCCUUUGUGGGUGAGAAGUACCUGCUAUAGGUUUUACUUCAGAUUCAGCAGUCAGGAAUUUCUUUCCACUUCCUGGAAAAAAAUCAGUUCCCUGGCAGUGCUAUUGCGUUCGUGCCAUUCCACCUGCAACCUUAAAGAAGCCCUUUCUGGCACCAGGCAGUGAGGAGUAGCAGAGUGUUUCCAAGUGCUGGCAUUUCCACUGACAAGCUACUGGCCUAUUUGGCAUCUCUAGAGACUGCGCCCCUACAAAUCUGGCUGCUGUGAUUAUUUUAGUGCUUGACGUGGAUUUCCCUGAGGAACAAAGGAACUGUGCCAGCAGAUGUGCUCUCCAUUAUAUGCCAAACAACAGGCAUGAAGUGGUUGAUGCUUAAAAGUCCUACGCAGGAGCGUGGCUAGGCGUGGCAACAGACCGGACCCUGGACCAUGGCAGGAGGUCUUGCCAGGCAGAAGCUGGUUUCUCCAGGCAGUAGCGCCAGCCCGCAGGUGCUGCAGGGAUGAGCCUGGGGACUUCUCCACCGUGCGCAGGUCCGGCUGCGGGGUUUGAGGUGUGCUGGCCAAGCAGGAAGAAGCGGUCCCUCUCCGGGAGAGCCACCUGCAUGCCAAAAGAAUGUUUUAAAGUAAUAUGAAAGUCUCAGCUGAAACCUCUGCAUGAUUUCAGAAGGGAGAGGCCAGGAGGGAGGAAUCACCUUCAAAUUCAAUAAUCCCCAUUUUGAAGUGCAUCCUACUGCAAUUGAUUGUUGAGUAAGAGAUAUGUACAGGUCUGACAUUUAGAUUCCACUGAUGUUUCUAAAUGAAAUGCAAUGUAUUAUGUGAAGCACA